AGAGUUUGAUCCUGGCUCAGACGAACGCUGGCGGCGUGCUUAACACAUGCAAGUCGAACGAUGAAGCCCUUCGGGGUGGAUUAGUGGCGAACGGGUGAGUAACACGUGGGCAAUCUGCCCUUCACUCUGGGACAAGCCCUGGAAACGGGGUCUAAUACCGGAUAACACUCUGUCCCGCAUGGGACGGGGUUAAAAGCUCCGGCGGUGAAGGAUGAGCCCGCGGCCUAUCAGCUUGUUGGUGGGGUGAUGGCCUACCAAGGCGACGACGGGUAGCCGGCCUGAGAGGGCGACCGGCCACACUGGGACUGAGACACGGCCCAGACUCCUACGGGAGGCAGCAGUGGGGAAUAUUGCACAAUGGGCGAAAGCCUGAUGCAGCGACGCCGCGUGAGGGAUGACGGCCUUCGGGUUGUAAACCUCUUUCAGCAGGGAAGAAGCGAAAGUGACGGUACCUGCAGAAGAAGCGCCGGCUAACUACGUGCCAGCAGCCGCGGUAAUACGUAGGGCGCAAGCGUUGUCCGGAAUUAUUGGGCGUAAAGAGCUCGUAGGCGGCUUGUUGCGUCGGUUGUGAAAGCCCGGGGCUUAACCCCGGGUCUGCAGUCGAUACGGGCAGGCUAGAGUGUGGUAGGGGAGAUCGGAAUUCCUGGUGUAGCGGUGAAAUGCGCAGAUAUCAGGAGGAACACCGGUGGCGAAGGCGGAUCUCUGGGCCAUUACUGACGCUGAGGAGCGAAAGCGUGGGGAGCGAACAGGAUUAGAUACCCUGGUAGUCCACGCCGUAAACGUUGGGAACUAGGUGUUGGCGACAUUCCACGUCGUCGGUGCCGCAGCUAACGCAUUAAGUCCCCGCCUGGGGAGUACGGCCGCAAGGCUAAAACUCAAAGGAAUUGACGG
rnacentral:rRNA from 1 species